GUGUCAGCCGCCGCGGUAAUACGUAGGGUGCGAGCGUUAAUCGGAAUUACUGGGCGUAAAGCGUGCGCAGGCGGUUUGAUAAGACAGGCGUGAAAUCCCCGGGCUCAACCUGGGAACUGCGUUUGUGACUGUCUCACUAGAGUACGGCAGAGGGGGGUGGAAUUCCACGUGUAGCAGUGAAAUGCGUAGAGAUGUGGAGGAACACCAAUGGCGAAGGCAGCCCCCUGGGUCGAUACUGACGCUCAUGCACGAAAGCGUGGGUAGCAAACAGGAUUAGAUACCCUGGUAGUCCACGCCCUAAACGAUGUCAACUAGGUGUUGGGAGGGUAAAACCUUUUAGUACCGUAGCUAACGCGAGAAGUUGACCGCCUGGGGAGUACGGCCGCAAGGUUAAAACUCAAAGGAAUUGACGG
rnacentral:rRNA from 1 species